UUGUCCAGAGAUAUUUGUCUGGAAUGGCACAUUUUAUGACCUUGGUCCCAACAUUUGAAUUGGGCCAAUAGCAGAACAGUACCUUUCAGACAGAGACAAGGAUGCUUGCUUAAUGUUUUCUAUGUAUAUAGUUGACCUUGAUUAAUGUGUAUCAUUUAUGUUUUAUAAAAACAUAUAUGGACUAAAUCUUACCCCAUCAAUCCUUUCGAGCCACGAAGAUGGUGCCACCUCAACCUCAUUUUGCUCAAUGAAAUUGAGGACUACAUAGCGAAGAUAAACCUGUUUUCAAAAGUGAAUGGCACUGGAGAGCAUGAAGAAGGAUGACAGAAGGAGGCAGAAACUCGUGGGGCAAAUCUUCAGAAGGAAGAGACUCAGGGGCAAACCUUCAGGACCCAGAAACUCAGGAGUUAAGCCGAAGCAGUUAGACACACAGGGGACAAAGCUUCAGGAGGCGGAGACUCAGGGGUGAAGCUGAAGGAUGUAGAGGCUCAGGGAGCAAAGGAAUACUUCAAAAAGUAUGAAGAAUGGACACCACAAUUUUGAUCCCGUAGUUUUCCUCCACGAUGAAUGCCCUCCUCUGAAGGGACUUUCUUUCUAAGCAAAGCAUUUGAGAAUGCCUGAUGUUAGCUACGUAUGUUCCAUAGAGGCGUGAAUCACACGGUGUCGUCAGAUAUGGCUGUAGAUUUGUGUACACCCUGCAUAACACUGUGUCAUCUGCUUGUUCUGACACCACCUCGUAAAAUUGUUCAGGGCCUAACACAA